AUCGUUCAGAAGCAAGACGAAAAUGUUCGGUUUCGGAGACGAUGGAAGGAGAAGAAGAAAAUGAAAGCAUUGGACCAAGUAAAAGAUUGACGUUUGACAGGGGUUUUGGCCUUGACCUGAAUGCGGCCGCGGUGAGCGAAGGCGGAGACGGCGCGGUGCUCGGAGAGGCCCUGCAGCUCUCGCUGGCGUUCCACGGCCAUGCGCGUCACGACGACGUCGGCGCGCGCCUGCGGCCGGCCGCGCAGCCUGCUGGGCGCCGGCUCCUCCUCCUCGUCCUCCUCAUCCCUAUGGUAGCCCUGGCAGGCCAUGCGGACGCGCUCGCGCACGGAGCGCACCCGCUCGCGCUCGCUCUCACCCAGCCACUCCUCGGCGCCGGCGCCGGCGC
rnacentral:misc_RNA from 1 species